rnacentral:rRNA from 1 species
GCGAGUAGGCGAACGGGUGAGUAAUAUAUACGGAACGUGCCCUAGAGUGGGGGAUCAACUAGUCGCAAAGAUUAGCUAAUACCGCAUACGAUCUAAGGAUGAAAGUGGGGGAUCGCAAGACCUCAUGCUCGUGGAGCGGCCGAUAUCUGAUUAGCUAGUUGGUGGGGUAAAAGCUCACCAAGGCGACGAUCAGUAGUCUGGUCUGAGAGGACGACCAGCCACACUGGGACUGAGACACGGCCCAGACUCCUACGGGAGGCAGCAGUGGGGAAUGUUGGACAAUGGGGGCAACCCUGAUCCUGCAAUGCCGCGUGAGUGAAGCAAGGCCUGUCGGGUUAGUAAAGCUCUU